GACGAACGCUGGCGGCGUGCCUAAUACAUGCAAGUAGAACGCUGAAGAGAGGGGCUUACUCUUCUUGGAUGAGUUGCGAACGGGUGAGUAACGCGUAGGUAACCUGCCUUGUAGCGGGGGAUAACUAUUGGAAACGAUAGCUAAUACCGCAUAACAAUGGAUGACACAUGUCAUUUAUUUGAAAGGGGCAAUUGCUCCACUACAAGAUGGACCUGCGUUGUAUUAGCUAGUAGGUGAGGUAAUGGCUCACCUAGGCGACGAUACAUAGCCGACCUGAGAGGGUGAUCGGCCACACUGGGACUGAGACACGGCCCAGACUCCUACGGGAGGCAGCAGUAGGGAAUCUUCGGCAAUGGGGGCAACCCUGACCGAGCAACGCCGCGUGAGUGAAGAAGGUUUUCGGAUCGUAAAGCUCUGUUGUAAGUCAAGAACGGGUGUGAGAGUGGAAAGUUCACACUGUGACGGUAGCUUACCAGAAAGGGACGGCUAACUACGUG
rnacentral:rRNA from 1 species